ensembl:lncRNA
UUCCCGUCAAGCCCGGAGCGUGCCGAGGCAUCGCCCGCCCCGCCGCGCCGCCGAAACCGGCCCGCCAAACCGUGCCGUGCCUUCGCAUCGCCGUCAGGAGAGACGGACGGCACUGCCGAGACGUACCGCGCGCGUUGAAUUAUGGCCGAGCAGCACGUGGCCUGGGAAGAAUCCCCAUCCUGCCGGAGAGAUUGUAGUGUGCCAUGCCGACGCUCAGUCUAGCUGCUGAGGUCUGGUUGGAUGGAGAAGGAAAACGCCGUCAUCCUCAGUAGUUUCUAAUCCUAUUUUGGCUGAAAAAUUAUGCGUUGAUAUGUUUGCAAUUAAUUCCCCUCCUCCACAACCCUCAAGUCUUUCUUUUGCAGAAGAAAACACAACUGCAGAGCACACAAUAAAUCUUUCCUGCAGCAAAAACAUUAACAUGCAAGGAAGAAAAAAAAAAAAAGGAAAAUGUAAAGCGAGAAAAGCACAGGAGAAUGGAAAGUAAGCAAGAUGGGAAGAUAAGAUGACAUCUGUUACCAGGAAAAAAACCCAAGCCAGUUUUCUUCCGCAUUACUUUUUCCUGCUCCUGAGAGUUUUUACUGGAAAUGAUCUGUUGGUUGGGAAACGGCAUGCAAAGCUAAAGCUAAGCACAGAUGAGGGAAGCACCACAAGAGCAACCCCGCCUGUCUCAGCCCGAGGAAGGCUGGAUGAUCCGUGCCAUGGCCAGCAGAGCACACGGAAUAAGGGAAACAUAACACGCCGUUUUGCUUGCCCUGCACAGGGACUACAAGAUGUAACCAGCUACCAGAAGCACACACAAUCACGGUAAUUAGCGACCGUUCCCAGGAUCACCACUCAGCCUGUGCUGAUGAACCCGUGGGUACUUGACCCCAGCCCUCGGAACGAGCUCUUCUGUUGCUCUGCGGGUUCUUGGGACCUCACCGCCAGACUCCACGUUUCCAGCUCCAGGAGAUCAUCGCGCGAGGUUGAAGCCAGCAGGCGACCGCAGCUCCAUCAGUAACAGACCCCAGCAUUCCUCGUACGCCACAUGCUCGAGUGCUUUACAAUAACCCCAAAGAUGUAUGCAAGAGAAAACAAUAUUCUUGAACAAUCAAAGAGGUGGUGUGUUCUCCCUGAAGAAUGUUCCCCUUUAAGGGCAGCACACUAAUGGCUUCCAGAAGCUGUGCCUCAAAUCGUGCUGCCUGCGUGUUUCAGAACAGUUCAGAACCAACGCCAAACAGUCUGUGCCCGGUGCCAUUCCCAAAAAGAAGGGGUGGCGUGCUGAGGGGGCUCCGAACAGCAGCGCAGAGGCUGCAGCUCGCUAACAGGGCUUUAAGCAGGCAGUGUCAAGGAGGGGCUCUGACCCCUCAGCACUUUAGUGAUUGUCCUAAAGGCCCAGUGCUUAACACGGCGAGGCAGCAUCCAUGUAAGAGUCUCCUUUGAAACAGGGGUGCCUAGCCCUCAUUCAUGCAGGAAGAACUCUUGAAGACGUAAUCUAAGUAGGUUAAAAGCACGGUUUUGAACACCGUGAAAACUAGGAGGUAAAUAAGCACAUCCAACAGACUCUGGUCUGCACUGUCUUAGAAGCUGUCUCACAAAUCCACGUGGAAAGAUAUCUCUGAGGAGAAGAAAUCAGCGCUUCCAAGUUGUUGAAAGCUGAAGCACUAGUACAGUAACGCAAAUCUCCCACUCUAGCGCGAUGAACUAAGGAUACCUUCUUCAGCUGGGUUCAGAGGACAGGAGUUUGUCUUUGCCUGCUCAUCCAGUUUUAAUUUCCUAUUCUGUCACUUCCUCAAGCAAGAACCUCUCCCAAGGGAAAAAAAGAAAAACAAAACAAAACCCUCUUCUGAAAUCCUGGGGGACAUGGUUUAGCAGAACCAACUCUGGCAGAAUAAAGCACACAGGAACUAAAUUUUACUAUUACACGGUCUGCAUUAACAGUGCAGAAAUGUUUUUGACAGCAAAAAAGUAUUUGGAUUAAUGGUGGGGUGGGGUUUUUUUCAGAAUGUAAAGGACUUUGAGACCAGCCCUUUAUGGGAAAUGUGCCUUCCAACUGACGGAAAACAUAGCAGUGCACUGAGAGCUCUGCUGGCAGACCUCGGGAGCUUUCCGCCCUGUUUCUUACCCAUCUUUCCCAAUUUUAUUUUCUACUUCUUAAAACAUUGUUCAUCUGUUUAGACACCCGUUAGCAAAGUUGUCAAAGGGUCACAAACCUUCUUCAUCAUAGGCAAUAAAAUGUUUUUUUCCCCACUAGUCUCUCAAACACACAAGAUGUUUCGAGAGACCGAGUCUCCUGUCACCUACCGAGAAUGUUUCUCCAGCUGCCUACGUGUUCCAUCAGAUCCACAGACCCACAGCAUUUGCCUCAAACAUGUCAGGGCUUGAAACUUCCUUCUGACACCUAAUUCCAUGCAAAGCUGUUCUCAGGCGAUAACACACAAAAGAGGACUCUACCCUUGCAUGCCACGUCGUACACGCAGCUGCUCAGAAUAUGUUCUGCUCUAUAUAUAGAUACAAACUGCAAUCACCUAAAUGGGAACCUUUCACGUAAAAGCAAAGUUUUGCUCCAUACAAAAAAAUGAAGGGAUGCCAUCAACGUUUUGCUGGAUAGUGUGGGCUAGCUAGUGUGGGCUGCCGAACUAACUGCUGGCAGCGUUUUCCCUUUUGAAAACCCUAUAAAUGCACCAGGCAACAUCCAAUGUGGCCGCCGAUGAAAUGACAUCAGCGUGCGAGUUAACUGCUUAACAAGCUCUCCUACCUUUCCCCAGGAGUCCAGCCAAGCCUUCGCGGGACGCAGCAGGCGCACAGAGCAGAACCAGAGAUUCCCUUCCAGCCAGGAGCCCGUCUCCGUGCAUGGCUCCCUGUUUCUCUCCCGCUCUCCAGGUGCUACGUAAAUAACAACGAAAAGGGCGCGGGUGACGAUACGUCACCAGCGCCGCUCCUCUGGCCUCACCGUUUGGGCAGGACUGCUGCCGAUCCUGGGAGAGCGCCGGGGCAGCCUGCAGCAAAACUGAUGAGAAGUGAGAUAAAGAGUGUGUGUGUGUGGGGGGGGGUGGACAUAUAGACGGGGGUCCCCCGGCCCCUGCGCCCCCACGGCCUGCGCCCGCUCCCUGCUCCGGGCCGGGAGGAGGCCUCACCUCAGGUCUCAGGCCCAGAGGCCGCCCCAGUCGCUGUCACGGGGCUAAUCUCCUCAGGCCGAUGCCGAGGGCGACCCCUCCUCACUCUCCCUUACGUCACGAGCAGCCCCACCGCCUGGCGAUGGCGUCACGCACCGGCCCGUGACAUCACCCGCCAAGGCCCGCCCUCUCGCACGUCGCCGCCGCCGCCCUCUCGGCCAAUGAGCCGCCCUUCCUGAGGGCACCUCGGGUCAAGCCCCGCCCCGCCCUGCUCUCAUUGGGUGGCCUUCGGCCAGGCUCGCAGUCCUGCUUUCUGAUUGGCUCCCGCCGAAGGGACUGUGACGCACCGCGAUGGAGCGACGGAGGGGGAACCAUAGAGCGCCGCUCGGCGGGCUAGACUGCCGCGGGCAGGGGCGCGAUGGGACAGCCCGGGAGGACUGAGGCCGGCGGUGAGCGGGGCGGGCGGUGAACGGGCCGGGACCGGCACCGGCACCGGGGAGUGGCAGCGCGGCUGGGACAGCCCAGCCCAGCCGGGGGGGUGGGGAGGGACCGGGACUCGGCCCUGCCGGGGGAACCUGCGGGGAACCCUCCGGUGCCGGCCCCGGUGCGGCCUCGGCAGCCGGCGGGCCCUGUCCCCCGGCCAGCCCGGGGCGGCCCGGCCCGCCGCGCCCGCUCACGUC